rnacentral:rRNA from 1 species
UACGUAGGGUGCAAACGUUAUCCGGAUUUAUUGGGCGUAAAGAGCUCGUAGGUGGUUUUGAAAGUUGGAUAUUAAAUACUCUGGCUCAACCAGAGAAAUGUAUCCAAAACUCCAAGACUAGAGGUGUGUAGGGGAGAAUGGAACGCACGGUGUAGCAGUGAAAUGCGUAGAUAUCGUGCGGAACGCCAAUGGUGAAGACAGUUCUCUGGACACCACCUGACACUGAGGAGCGAAAGCGUGGGUAG